UUCUUUUCUCAUUUUCCACAUGUUUUCCUAAGAGAUUCUAAAUAGCAUAAUUAAAAUGAAAGGAUGGGUAGGAAAGAGUUAAAAAGAAGGGAAGCGCAUGUUACAUAUGAAAGAGCGUACUGCAGCGCAAAGGAAAAAUAAGUGAGCGAGAAUGUUCGAAGAGGAAUGUAAACUAAAAUUUGCUUCAUUUAAUUUAAUACAGUUAUGUUGAGAAAUCAGUUGAAGCGGGAAGCAAAAGUUUAAGUGGUCCAACAAAAAGAGCAUGAUGCAACAAAUUGUGCUCGCGAAAUCCUAACAGAGCAACGCAUAUUGGUAACGAGGAGCAUAAUGGAUACCAUGGCUCUAAAAAUAUAGCAUUUCAAGUUGAACAAAUGUGGAGGCAAGCAAUGAAGCUUAAGAGAGAAAAGCAUAUGUGUAAUGAGGAGCAUGUGGGAAGACAUCACAAACAUAGAAGAAAAUGCUACACACCUUACAUUCAAGGCCGACACACUCAGAAAAGAAGAGGACAUCACCAUUUGUUUGGCCCUCCCAGUAACAAAUUGGAGAAGACUAGUUGAGAAGCAUUUUCAGUCAUCUCCUACUUCUUUUAGAAGGAUUGGAUUUGUCCACAUAUACAGUAUCGAUGUUGUCUCAAUGUUUAUGAGUUGAAUGUAUAAACACUAAUAAAUUUGAUUUUAUUUAGUCAA